UCCCUGGAGGCCUAGUGGUUAGAAUUUGGCACUUUCACUGCCGUGACCCAGGUUCAGUCCCUGGUCAGGGAA
rfam:Sus scrofa chromosome 6.